UACGUAGGGUGCAGGCGUUAAUCGGAAUUACUGGGCGUAAAGCGUGCGUAGGCGGUUGUGCAAGUCAGAUGUGAAAUCCCCGGGCUCAACCUGGGAACUGCAUUUGUGACUGCACGGCUGGAGUGCGGCAGAGGGAGAUGGAAUUCCGCGUGUAGCAGUGAAAUGCGUAGAUAUGCGGAGGAACACCGAUGGCGAAGGCAAUCCCCUGGGCCUGCACUGACGCUCAUGCACGAAAGCGUGGGGAGCAAACAGG
rnacentral:rRNA from 1 species